GGCCCGGUAGUCUAGCGGUAUGAUAUCUGCUUUGGGAGCAGAAGGUCCCGGGUUCGAUCCCCGGCCGGGCCC
rfam:Nosema ceranae BRL01 Nc004704, whole genome shotgun sequence.